GAUGAAGAACGUAGCGAAAUGCGAUAAGUAAUGUGAAUUGCAGAAUUCAGUGAAUCAUCGAAUCUUUGAACGCACAUUGCGCCCGCCAGUAUUCUGGCGGGCAUGCCUGUUCGAGCGUCAUUUCAACCCUCAAGCCCAGCUUGGUGUUGGGGAUCGGCACAGGCGCCCUCGGGCGCCCGCCGUCCCCUAAAUCUAGUGGCGGUCCCGCUGCAGCCUCCUCUGCGUAGUAGUUUUCUCCUCGCAAGGGCAGCUCGGUGGCGACCUCGCCGUAAAACCCCCAACUUCUGAAAGGUUGACCUCGAAUCAGGUAGGAAUACCCGCUGAACUUAAGAAUAUCAAUAAGCGGAGGA
rnacentral:misc_RNA from 1 species